UACGGAGGGUGCAAGCGUUAUCCGGAUUUACUGGGAUUAAAGGGUGCGUAGGUGGGUCUGUAAGUCAGUGGUGAAAUCUCCGGGCUUAACCCGGAAACUGCCAUUGAUACUAUAGAUCUUGAAUAUCCUGGAGGUGAGCGGAAUAUGUCAUGUAGCGGUGAAAUGCUUAGAUAUGACAUAGAACACCAAUUGCGAAGGCAGCUCACUACGGGAUCAUUGACACUGAGGCACGAAAGCGUGGGGAUCAAACAGG
rnacentral:rRNA from 1 species